CCUACGGGGGGCAGCAGUGGGGAAUAUUGGGCAAUGGGCGCAAGCCUGACCCAGCAACGCCGCGUGAAGGAAGAAGGCCCUCGGGUUGUAAACUUCUUUUAUCAAGGACGAAACAAAUGACGGUACUUGAUGAAUAAGCCACGGCUAACUACGUGCCAGCAGCCGCGGUAAUACGUAGGUGGCAAGCGUUAUCCGGAUUUACUGGGUGUAAAGGGCGUGUAGGCGGGACUGCAAGUCAGAUGUGAAAACCAUGGGCUCAACCCAUGGCCUGCAUUUGAAACUGUAGUUCUUGAGUGUUGGAGAGG
rnacentral:rRNA from 1 species